rnacentral:rRNA from 1 species
AAAGCGUAGGCGAUGGGAAACGGGUUAAUAUUCCCGUACUUCUAGUUACUGCGAUGGAGGGACGGAGAAGGCUAGGCCAGCACGGCGUUGGUUGUCCGUGUUUAAGGUGGUAGGCUGAGAUCUUAGGUAAAUCCGGGAUCUUAAGGCCGAGAGCUGAUGACGAGCGUUCUUUUAGAAUGCGAAGUGGUUGAUGCCAUGCUUCCAGGAAAAGCUUCUAAGCUUCAGGUAACUAGGAACCGUACCCAAAACCGACAC